AGAGAAUGUGCUGAGUCUCAAUGUCCUCGGAGUCUCCAUAAAUCACUCAUAGAAAAGAGUGGGGAUUUAGUUGGGCAGCACAUUGUAUGCCCAAAGCGGAGCUGGAGGAGGACCUCCAGAGUCGCUAUAGAGGGAUUUCAUCACAAGGAAGGGAGGCUGAGCAAACAGCGAGGAUGUCAACAACAUCCUGUCCUUGCAGAGAGGAGAACGGCUUUUGAAGGAAUGACAGAGCUUUGGAUCUCAGCUCCCCGAGCAAAGUGCCUGACACCUCUUUGAAAAGAAAUAGCAGAUUUCCUCCCCACUCUGGGAUUCAGCACAGGCUGCACUUUACAAGCUGCAAGCAAAGCAGGUUUCCUUCGAGUCGUCGUGGUGUCAGACGAUGCAAUGUAUUAUUA
ensembl:lncRNA